GUGCCGCGGCCGCCUCGGCCCCCUCGGCCCGCGCGCCGCGGCGAAGUUGCUCCGGGCGGGGUCCCCGCCGCGCAGACCUCCCGGCCCGGGCCGGCGGCGCGGUGGGUGCGCGCUCCAGGUGUCCAGCGGGGUGCAGAUGCGGCCACCGAGAACUCUUUGUGCCGCGUCGGAAGAGGGCUCGCGCCGCGGCUGCCUCUUCAGGCUGUUGGGUCCAGCGACGUGGGGCGUGUGGAGCGCUUAUCGGAGCGCCAGACCCCUGCGCGUCCCGGCAAACCGCCCGCGGGGUUUGCGAGCGAUACGGAGGUGUGCGGCGGGGGCCGCGCGGACGGAAGCGGACCUACCUGCGCGGUGGGCUCCUGGGGCAGGAACGCGCUCGCCCGCCGCCCGCCGCCCGCCUCCCGCGCU
rnacentral:lncRNA from 1 species